rnacentral:rRNA from 1 species
UCGCAGGCUGCAACCCGCCUGCGUGAAGUUGGAAUCGCUAGUAAUCGCGGAUCAGCAUGCCGCGGUGAAUACGUUCCCGGGCCUUGUACACACCGCCCGUCACACCAUGAGAGUCGGGAACACCCGAAGUCCGUAGCCUAACUUUAACGAGGGGGCGCGGCCGAAGGUGGGUUCGAUAAUUGGGGUGAAGUCGUAACAAGGUACC